rnacentral:rRNA from 1 species
UGGACGAAAGUCUGACGGAGCAACGCCGCGUGAGUGAUGAAGGCUUUCGGGUCGUAAAACUCUGUUGUUAGGGAAGAACAAGUGCUAGUUGAAUAAGCUGGCACCUUGACGGUACCUAACCAGAAAGCCACGGCUAACUACGUGCCAGCAGCCGCGGUAAUACGUAGGUGGCAAGCGUUAUCCGGAAUUAUUGGGCGUAAAGCGCGCGCAGGUGGUUUCUUAAGUCUGAUGUGAAAGCCCACGGCUCAACCGUGGAGGGUCAUUGGAAACUGGGAGACUUGAGUGCAGAAGAGGAAAGUGGAAUUCCAUGUGUAGCGGUGAAAUGCGUAGAGAUAUGGAGGAACACCAGUGGCGAAGGCGACUUUCUGGUCUGUAACUGACACUGAGGCGCGAAAGCGUGGGGAAAGAACAGGAUUAGAUACCCUGGUAGUCCACGCCGUAAACUAAAAGGGCUAAGU